AACGAACGCUGGCGGCAGGCUUAACACAUGCAAGUCGAGCGCCCCGCAAGGGGAGCGGCAGACGGGCGAGUAACGCGUGGGAAUCUACCUAUCCCUACGGAACUACCCCGGGAAACUGGAGCCAAUACCGUAUACGCCCCUAGGGGGAAAGAUUUAUCGGGGAUAGAUGAACCCGCGUUGGAUUAGCUAGUGGGUGGGGUAAUGGACUACCAAGGCGACGAUCCAUAGCUGGUCUGAGAGGAUGAGCAGCCACACUGGGACUGAGACACGGGCCAGACUCCUACGGGAGGCAGCAGUGGGGAAUAUUGGACUAUGGGCGAAAGCCUGAUCCAGCCAUGCCGCGUGAGUGAUGAAGGCCCUAGGGUUGUAAAGCUCUUUCACCGGUGAAGAUAAUGACGGUAACCGGAGAAGAAGCCCCGGCUAACUUCGUGCCAGCCGCCGCCGUAACAC
rnacentral:rRNA from 1 species